rnacentral:lncRNA from 1 species
CGGGUAUCUCCUUUCAGAAUUUCCCAUGCUUCUUUUGCUGACUUUGCAUUAGCUAUUUUCUCGAAUCCAGAUUCAUCCAUUGCAUUAUACAAAAAGUACAAAGUCUGUCUAUCUUUCACUCAUGUCUUUUUUAAUGCAACAACUCGGUUCAUUGUCUGAUGCUCAUCAUCCGCGAGUUCAUUGUACCCGUCCUCCACUAUGUCCCAUACGUCUUGGGAUCCCAGAAGAACCUUUAUCUGCAAAGACAAAUUAUCGUAAUUGGUAUUUUUCGACAAUUGUGGCACACUAAUCCCAUUGACUGCCUUUUCCAUCUCUCCACAAAAAAAAAUAAAAAUAAAAUCAAGCACUCACUUUUUCUCUCAGAAUGUUUGACUCUCUCCUCUCUCUCUCUUUCUCUUUCUCUCUCUCGUACUCAGAGCAUAAAGCUUCGAUACCACUAAUAGGAAAAAC